rnacentral:rRNA from 1 species
UACGGAGGGUGCGAGCGUUGUCCGGAAUAACUGGGCGUAAAGGGCGCGUAGGCGGCCUGAUCAGUGGGGGGUGAAAUCCUGCGGCUUAACCGCAGGGCUGCCUUCUAAACUGUCGGGCUAGAGCACGGUAGAGGCAGAUGGAAUUCCCGGUGUAGCGGUGGAAUGCGUAGAGAUCGGGAAGAACAUCAGUGGCGAAGGCGGUCUGCUGGGCCGUUGCUGACGCUGAGGCGCGACAGCGUGGGGAGCAAACAGG